rnacentral:rRNA from 1 species
GACGAACGCUGGCGGCGUGCCUGACACAUGCAAGUCGGACGGUUCUUGCACCUUCAAGCUUGCUUGUUGGUUCAAGGAUAGUGGCGGACGGGUGAGUAACGCGUGAACACCUACCCAUUGGAGGGGUACAACCCGUCGAAAGGCGGGCUAAUACCGCGUAAGCCGUGAGGUGAAAGGCUGCUCUUUGGUGGCUGCCGAUGGAUGGGUUCGCGUCCUAUCAGCUGGUUGGUGGGGUAACGGCCUACCAAGGCUAAGACGGGUAGCCGGUCUGAGAGGAUGGCCGGCCACACUGGAACUGAGACACGGUCCAGACUCCUACGGGAGGCAGCAGUGGGGAAUCUUGGACAAUGGACGCAAGUCUGAUCCAGCCAUGCCGCGUGAAGGAUUAAGGUCCUCUGGAUUGUAAACUUCUUUUAUAAGGGACGAAAAAGGUACUUUCUAGAUCGUCUGACGGUACCUUAUGAAUAAGCACCGGCUAACUCCGUG